rnacentral:rRNA from 1 species
CCAGCAAUGCCGCGUGAGUGAUGAAGGCCUUAGGGUUGUAAAGCUCUUUUACCAGGGAUGAUAAUGCCAGUACCUGGAGAAUAAGCUCCGGCUAACUCCGUGCCAGCAGCCGCGGUAAUACGGAGGGAGCUAGCGUUGUUCGGAAUUACUGGGCGUAAAGAGUACGUAGGCGGUGAUUCAAGUCAGAGGUGAAAGCCUGGAGCUCAACUCCAGAACUGCCUUUGAAACUAGAUCGCUAGAAUUGUGGAGAGGUUAGUGGAAUUCCGAGUGUAGAGGUGAAAUUCGUAGAUAUUCGGAAGAACACCAGUGGCGAAGGCGACUAACUGGACACAUAUUGACGCUGAGGUACGAAAGCGUGGGGAGCAAACAGGAUUAGAUACCCUGGUAGUCCACGCCGUAAACGAUGAUAACUAGCUGUUCGGGGUCUACGAUCCUGAGUGGCGCAGCUAACGCAUUA